rnacentral:misc_RNA from 1 species
AGCAGGCAAAAAGGUACACGAUGCUUUAUCUCUUUAGACUUGCAAAUGUUCUAAAUCUUGAUUUAACUUUCUGUUGCCAAGCAUCUUAUCUAAUUACAUCGACAUUAAAUAGCAUGCAAUAGCUGCCCAUCUGAUCGGAUCUUCUUAAUUAAACUCGAGCAAUGCUAGUGUCUGCCAUAAUUUUAGCCACUUUUUUUUAAUUCCUAAUAGCUUCCAUUAUGGUUUUUCAUU